rnacentral:rRNA from 1 species
UAUCGCUGAGAGAUGGGCUCGCGGCCGAUUAGGUAGUUGGUGAGAUAACAGCCCACCAAGCCGACGAUCGGUAGCCGGACUGAGAGGUUGAACGGCCACAUUGGGACUGAGACACGGCCCAGACUCCUACGGGAGGCAGCAGUGGGGGAUAUUGCACAAUGGAGGAAACUCUGAUGCAGCGACGCCGCGUGAGGGAAGACGGUCUUCGGAUUGUAAACCUCUGUCUUUAGGGACGAAAAAAUGACGGUACCUAAGGAGGAAGCCACGGCUAACUACGUGCCAGCAGCCGCGGUAAUACGUAGGUGGCAAGCGUUGUCCGGAAUUACUGGGUGUAAAGGGAGCGUAGGCGGGGAGACAAGUUGAAUGUUUAAACUAUCGGCUCAACUGAUAGUCGCGUUCAAAACUAUCACUCUUGAGUGCAGUAGAGGUAGGCGGAAUUCCUAGUGUAGCGGUGAAAUGCGUAGAUAUUAGGAGGAACACCAGUGGCGAAGGCGGCCUACUGGGCUGUAACUGACGCUGAGGCUCGAAAGCGUGGGUAGCAAACAGGAUUAGAUACCCUGGUGGUCCAUGCCGUAAACGAUGAUUACUAGGUGUUGGAGGAUUGACCCCUUCAGUGCCGC